rnacentral:rRNA from 1 species
GCCCGCUCAGACUCAAGGAAGUUGACGGGGCCCGCACAAGCGGUGGAGUAUGUGGUUUAAUUCGAUGCAACGCGAAGAACCUUACCUGGUCUUGACAUCCCGGAGACCCUUAGGAAACUAGGGGGUGCUUCCAUCUGGAAGAAUCUGGAGACAGGUGCUGCAUGGCUGUCGUCAGCUCGUGUCGUGAGAUGUUGGGUUAAGUCCCGCAACGAGCGCAACCCUUGCCUUUAGUUGCCAGCAGUUCGGCUGGGCACUCUAAAGGGACUGCCGGUGUUAAACCGGAAGAAGGUGGGGAUGACGUCAAGUCCUCAUGGCCUUUAUGACCAGGGCUACACACGUACUACAAUGGCCGAUACAAAGGGCAGCGACACUGCGAGGUGAAGCCAAUCCCGUAAAAUCGGUCUCAGUCCGGAUUGGAGUCUGCAACUCGACUCCAUGAAGUUGGAAUCGCUAGUAAUCGUGGAUCAGCAUGCCACGGUGAAUACGUUCCCGGGCCUU